UACGGAGGGGGUUAGCGUUGUUCGGAAUUACUGGGCGUAAAGCGCGCGUAGGCGGAUUAGAAAGUUGGGGGUGAAAUCCCGGGGCUCAACCUCGGAACUGCCUCCAAAACUGCUAGUCUAGAGUUCGAGAGAGGUGAGUGGAAUUCCGAGUGUAGAGGUGAAAUUCGUAGAUAUUCGGAGGAACAUCAGUGGCGAAGGCGGCUCACUGGCUCGAUACUGACGCUGAGGUGCGAAAGUGUGGGGAGCAAACAGG
rnacentral:rRNA from 1 species